rnacentral:lncRNA from 1 species
GGCGCGGGGGGGGCACUCUCACGGCCGCCCCGGAGCCCCGCGCGGGGCCCCGCCGCCCCCGGAGCCGCACAAGUUGGAGCGAGAGUUUGUCGGGAGCCCCCAACUGCCGCGGAGAGGGAUGAGGUCUGUGUUUCUGCAGUUCCUGAGCGAAGUUUCCUGUCCUGCAGCACGGCGGCAGGCUGACACCCACCCAGUGGGACCGUGGCACAUCAGCCCAGCCUUUCCCAGCACUUUUUCCCCUUUCUGUGCUGCUUUCAGUGCCUGCCCUGGAGCACUCUGUAACGCUCCCUGGACUCCCCCUAAAUUGGUAAAAAACAUCCAUGGGGGGGUUUCACAGGGUUUUUUUUAUUUUUGUGUUUAUUUUUUUUUGCUCCUGUGCAGGGGGUUUUCUGGCUUAGUUUAAUGCCAAACAAAGGGGUGAAGAGAGGGCUUGGUUUGUCUCUGCGGAGCGACCCGCAGCUGUCCUGGCCAUCCCGUGUGCACACUGUGAUUCCCAGCAGCCAGCAGGUUGUGUCCAUUGCUCUGAGCAUCACACUGGGAAAUUCGGGUGCUUUGCAUAAGGGGGUUAAUACUGUGUUUGUUACAUGUUGCUUUUGGCUAACUCCUGCCUGAGACAGCAUACAGCUCAGCUGUGUUGUUUGUGUGGGGUAUUUGGGAUUUACAGUGGCCGGAAGGCUGGAGCUGGAGGGAGAUGAGGACAAUGGCAUCGUGAGAACCCUGGGGUUAGAAUUCCACUUUAUUUAUUCAGAACAUCCCUUUAUUCCCUCCUCUUGGUUUCUCCAGGUGGUCCCUUUGCAUUGCAGCCUCUUACCCCGAGCUGCUGUUGAGUUUUCCUCUUUUUUUUUCCCCCCAGACCUGUCUUCUUCUUGGGACCCAUCCCAUCCCAUAGCUGCUCGUGGAGUACUGAGCUCCAUCAGCUGCUUCUGUGGAGCAGGGAUGCCUUCUUCGCUCUCCUCUCCUAAAAAAUGAUUUAGUAUACUGAAGAAAAAUCACCGUUAUGCCGAAGAUGCUCUUUGUAAACACAUUGCAGCCUGAGAUCCUCACUGCAUCUCCUGCAAGGAGCGGUGGGGUUUUCUCUCCCUUACGAAUCAGCAGUCAUUCUCUGAGCAGUUCCUUCAGCUUUCUUUCCGUCCCGUGCUAUUUCAGAAACGUCAGGCUGUGUUGUGGCUGCUCUUGAAACAUUGGUACCGAGUGCCUCCUGGGCGCUGCGCGGGCAGGUCGCGGUCC